GUAUUAAGGUUGUGAAGGUAUUAUUUUAAUUAUUAAACAGAUUGAAUUAAAGUUAGAAGAAGUGGUCUUGUGAACUCAGAAUGGUUGAAUUACGAGAAGAAAUGUUUAUAAAGGAACAAAAAAUGAUUGAAUCACGCAAUAAAUUGGUUGUGACAUAAAACCACACUAAUUGUGGCUUAGAGAGCACAGGUUUUGAGUACUUUAUUUUCAUACAUGUGCUUAUUUGAAACAAGUAGUUAUGUUCUUACUACCAUUAAUGUUAGAUUUUUGUAAUGGUUCUAAUGGUUGUUGGAGUGUUUGUUAUGAUGACAAUAUAUAUGAUCGUGGUAAUGACAAUGCUAGUGAGAGUUUUACUGUGCCAUAUAUGAUUUGAAAAACUAAAGUGAUUAUUUGUCUUCAUGUUUAUGCAG